CAUCCUCGGCUCCCCCCCCGCGCCCCUCAGACGCCGACUAUAAGAGGCCCCGCCCGGGUUUCUCAGUGUGCAGCGGGCCGAGCUUAGAGUCGGGGAAGGAGGCUGGACCUCAAAGUGCCCCCUUCACCCUCGGCGCCAGGAGGUGAGGAGAAGCACCAGUGGAGGAAGGAGGAGGAGGAGGAGACUUACAGGUCCUGACCACCCCUGCACCAACUGGACCAAACUGGCCACGGAGAGCACAGCGGCAGAGGUGACAAGCCAGAUGUUGCCUUUUAGAUACCUCCAGGAGGGAUGCAGUCAAGGGAGCUGCCCCGACGCGGAAGAGGAAGGAGCGAUGGGGGGAUCGAGCCGCCCUGUGGAGACCAGGACACCCUGAGAGAAGAUGGGAGUUGACCAGUCCAUCUGAAAAGAACGGAUAAGUAUCUCCUCACGGACUAACCCAAAGCAAGCCGGAAACAUUGGCUGCUAGUAGCGAAUGAUUUGAACCUAGAGACGUCUCUUGCACGUUUUUCGAUUCCAGAUGAAACGGUCUUUGGACUUUUCCUCACAGAAUAUUUCCCCAAUCCAUUUUCCGGGGAAAGAACUCUGGUCAGGAUGUUGCUUUUACCCCUUAAAAUUCAGUCAGAGGAGAGGCGUGAGGUACGGGGAGCCUUUAGUUAUGAAGAAAUAAUAAGGAAAAUAAAAAGAGAGAUUAAAUAGGUAGCACUGCUAGGAAAUGUAAAAAUAGAGGAAAUAACAGAACCGUACUGUGGAUUUCCAAGGGAAAUUUACCUCACGGUUCCUUAAAAAGAAUGAAUAAAAUGCCUUGAGGCAAGGCUCCCUGAUUUAGGGCAGUUCACUCUCCGGACUAUUGGGAUCGGGUUCAUACUCUAGGUGAGGAGGUUUGGAAUAGUGCAAAAAGAGAUAAGAGCAAAUGCUUACACGGAUCCCUUUCACGCUGUGAUUGGGGAAUGAGGUCUGGAAAAGAAUUCCUGCUCUCCCUACUGAAGACUGUGGUGUGGUCUGUGCUCAAACCCCAGUUGAUAUAUGUUUCAGAGCCUCGACCUGCCUAUUUCUGGAGCACCUCAUCCAGCAGGCAUCCGGACAGUUGCCUUUUAGAUACCUCCUGGAGGGUUGCAGUCCGGGGAGCUGCCCCGACGCGGAAGAGGAAGGAGCGAUGGGGGAUCGAGCCGCCCUGUGGAGACCGGGACACCCUGAGAGAAGAUGGCCUCAUUUCAGAACCUCCAAGUACCCACUUCACCCUCAGCGCGAGGCGGUUAGAAGAAGCACCAGAAGAGGAAGGAGGAGGAGGCGGAGAAGACUUACAGGCCCUGACCACCCCACGCCCACUGGACCUAAUCAUUCACAGAGAGCAUGGCGGCAGCAGUGACAAGCCAGAUGCUGGGGAGAAAUUCCUCUUUUUGGAGAGAAAUGAGUAUAUCCGGGCCCUCGGGGAGACCGCGAGCUUGUUGUGGGUGGGAAAGGUGGACUGUGUUCCGUUUAGGUAUCCCGGAAAUUUGAUUUCACUAAUCCAACUUUUAGAUUUUUUUUUAUCUGGGGGGAGAAAUGAACAAAGGAUUUUAGUCUCUGGAAGGAACCCCAAACCAGGCCAAGAAGCCCCUGGAUGAUUUCUCCUACUCUGCCAUGUCACUGAGUUGCCUUUUAGAUACCUCCUGGAGGGUUGCAGUCCGGGGAGCUGCCCCACGCGGAAGAAGAAGGGAGCAGCGAUGGGGGAUCGAGCCUCCCCGUGUUGACCUGGACACCCGGAGAGAAGAUGGAAAUUGACCUGUCCAUCUGAAAAAAAAAAAUAAGUAUCUCCUCAUAGACUAACCCAAAACAAUCUGGAAAUAUCGGCUCCUAGUAUCAAAUGAUUUGAACCUACAUAGGUUUCUUGCACAUUUUUCUAUUCCAGACCAAACGGUCUUUGGACUUUUCCUCACAGAAUAUUUCUCCAAUCCAUUUUCCGGUGAAAGAACUCUGGUCAGGAUGUUGCUCUUACUCCUUAAAAUUCAGUCAGGACAGGUGAGAGGUACGGGGAGCCUUUAGUUAUGAAGCAAUAAUAAGGAAAAUGAAAAGAGAGAUUAAAUAUGGAGUACUGCUAGGAAAUUUAAAAGUAGGGAAAAAACGGAAGCUUACUGUGAAUUUCCAAGGGAAAUUUACCUCAUAGCUCCUUAAAAAGAAUGAAUAAAAUGUCUUGAGGCAAGGCUCCCUGACUUAGGGCAGUUCACUCUCCGGACUAUUGGGAUUGGGUUAAUACUCCAGGUGAGGAGGUUUGGAAUAGUGCAAGAAGAGAUAAGAGCAAAUGCUUUCACAUCUCUCUCUCAUGCUGUGAUUCUGAAUGAGGUCUGGAAAAGAAUUCCUGCUCUACCUACACUGAAAACAGUGGUGUGGUCUGUGCUCAAACCCCAGGUGAUGUUUUUCAGAGACUCAACCUACCUACUUGUGGGAUCACCCCAUCAAGUCAGCAUCCGGACAGGAUAUUGGAAGGACGAAGCCUGCGGCCAGAGAAGGCUUUCGCCACAGAUCGUGCGGCAAGAGAUGGGAAAAGGGAAAGCCCUUUUAGGCUCCCCUACACUGAUUCUCCCCCCUUCCCACUCCCCACCCCCCCCGUGCUGUGUCCUAAGUCUUUAUGGCUAGGAACGGGGAGGGGGUAAAAAGAAAGUUUUCUCUAUGCACACCGUCUCCUGCUCUUCUGUACCUACCUUAGGUCUUCGUGGCCUGAAAAGGUACUGUGGGAUUUAAAAAAGGAGCAUUUUGCUUUAUGCAACAAACUCUCCUACUUAUUUGUCCACCUGAGGACUUAGAGACCUGCAGAGAAAAUCGAUGAGGAGGGAAAGGAGAAAUCUGCUCUAUAUGCCAUUACAUCUCCUGUUCAUUACUCCACCUCAGGCCUUUAAGGUCUUCUACUGGAGAUGAACUACAGAGUAUUUGAGCUGCCAGAGGCGAAAUCUGCUUCAUGCAAAAAAUCUCCAGCUUUCGUUUUCCUCCUGAAGGGCUUCAAGGCCUUCCCUCAAGUAUAUUUGAGGUGAAGAGAGAGAAAUUUGCUACGUACAAGCAACCUCCAGGUUUAAUUUCUCGAUCUAAUGCCUUCUAUGCCUUAAGAGAGAAGAUUUGCGCUGCCCAGGGAGAAAUCUGACCUCUGGUCUUCAAGGCCAGAAGGUGAGACUAUUGCAGGUUAAAAAGGAGAAUUUUGCCUCAUGCAAAAAAUCUGCUUUCAGUUCUCUCCUUAAGGGUCUUCAGGGCCGCAGGAGAGAAUAUCUGAGGGGCAGAAAGGGAGAAAACUGGCUACUUGCACAUACACCUCCUAAUUUCAGAAUGAAUAAGACACUCUUUGAGAUGGAAAAGGAGCAAUUGGCUUCAUGCAAAAAGCUCCCAACUUGUCUUUCUCGCCCUCUGGUCUUCAAGGCCAGAAGAGAGAAUACUGCAGGUCAAAAAGGAGAAAAUUGCUUCAUGUCAACCAGCUCCAGCUCUUUUCUCUCUACCCAAGGUCUUCAGGACCUCACUGGAGGGUUUUUGAAGUGAAAGGGGAGCAAGUUAGUUUCAUGGACCCGAUCUCCAGUUUCUGUUUCUCGAAGGUCUUCAAGGCCGCAAGAGAGACCCUUUCGAGGCAAAAGGAGAAAUCUGCUUCAUGCGAACAAUUUCUUGCUCUCAAUUUUCUAAACAUAUUUGAAAAGGAGACUUUUGCUUCAUGCAAAAAAACUGUCCUGCUUAUUUGUUCCACCUUUUGGUCUGCAAUGCCUUCCAAGAUAACAUGUGAGGUGAAAAAUGAUCCAUGGGCUUCCUGCAAACAAUCUCCAACUUUUGUUUCGCCAAGGCCGUAAAGGCCUUAGGAGAGAAUGAUUUAGGUGAAAAGGGAGAAACUGGCUUCCUGGAGCAGAUUCAGCUCCCGUUCAGUACUCCUCCUCAGGCCUUUGUGACUUUGAACAGAGAAUGAGUAGAGAAUGUCGGAGGUGCAGAGGGAGGACUUGGCUUCAUGCAGACCACCUCCAGCCGGGAUUUCUCCAUCUGAGGUCUUCACGGCCUUCCAAGAUAAUAUGUGAGGUGAAAAAGGUUCCACUUUUGUGCUUCGUGUACACAAAUGCCAGUUUUUAUUUCUCCAAGGUCUUCAAGGCCUCAAAGGAGAGGAUGUGAGGGGGAAAAGGGAGAAAUUUGCUUCCCACAAAGAGUAUCUUGCUUUCUUCCUCUACCUAAGGUCUUCAAGGCCUGAAGAGAAACUAUAUGGCAUUGGAAAAGGAGAAUUUGGCUUCACGCAGAAACUGUCCUGCUUAUUGGUCACCCCAAGGUCUUCAAGGCCAAAGAGCCUAUAUGAGGUGGAAAAGGGUGGAUUUGCUUCAUGCAAAGCAUCUCCAGCUUUUACGUCUCUCUACCAGGUCUUCAAGGCCCGGAAAGAGACUAGUUGGGGUGAAAAAAGGGAGAAAUCUGUCUCAUGGAGAUAUACUUCCUGUGCCUAUUCCACCCUCAGGCCUUCAAGGCCUAUGGAUUGAGGAGGAAUGGAGACUAUCUUGAGGUGCAAAAGGAGAAAUUUGCUUCAGGCAAACCGUCUCCAGCUUUGAUUUCUCUAGCUCAGGUCUUCAAGGCCAGAAAAGAGAAUCUUUGAGGUGGAAAAGGAGAACUUUGCUUCAUGCCUCCCAUCUUCAGCUUUGAUUUCCCUACCCAAGGUCUUCAAGGCCAGAGAAGAGAAUAGUUUGAGGUGGAAAGGGAGGAACUUUGCUUUAUGCAUACAAUCUCCAGGUUGGAGAUCUCUAAGGUCUUCAAGACCUCCAAAGAAAAUAUUUGAAGCUUAUAAAAGGAGCAGUUUGCGUCAUGAAAACUAUCCCCUGCAUUCUCUUGUUUACCCAAAGUCUUCAAGACUUGAAAAGAGCAUAUCUGAGGUGGCAAAGGAGAAAUCUGCUUCAUGCCAAACCACCUCCAGCUUGGAUUUCUCUCGCGAAGGCCUUCAAGGCCAGAAAAGAGAAUCUUUGAGGUGGCAAAGGAGAAACUUUGCUUCACGCAAACUAUCUCCAGCUUUGAUUUCUCUACCCAAGGUCUUCAAGGCCAGAAAAGACUACUGGAGGUUUCAAAGGAGACAGUGGAUUCAGGCCAGCCACUUGCCCACUUGCAUUUCUCUCCCUUUAUGGUCUUCAAGACCACAGAAGAGAAUAUUUGUGCGCAAAAAGGACAACCUUUCUCCAUGCUUUUGUUUCUCUACUUAAGGGCCAGGAAAACAGUAAUAGAUGGGGUUAAAAAGGGAAAAGUUUGCCUCCUCCAACAACUCACCUCCUCAUGUUUCUGCCUAAGGUCUUCAAGACCUGAAGAGAAAAUGUGUGAACUAGAAAAGGAGAAAUCUCCUGUGCAUUAGUUCACUUCAGGCCUUCAAGGCCGUUGCGAGAGACAAUGAAUAGAAAAUAUCUGAGGUGGAAAAGGAGAUCAAUUUGCUUCACGCAAAGAAUUCUGCCCUUCUUUCUCGACCUAAGGUCUUCAGGGCCUGAAAUGAGAAUAUGGGAAGGCAGAUAGGAGAAGUUUGCUUCAUGCAGACACAUCUCCUGUUCAUUACUCCUCUUGAGGCCUUUUCACAGAGAAUAUUUGAGGUGGAAAUGGAGAAACUUGCUUCAUGUAUUAAAAAAUAAAUAAAAUCUGUCCUUUCUCUACCUAAGGUCUUCAGGGCCUGCAAAGAGAAUACUGGAGGUGAGAACGGAGAAGUCUGCUUCAAGCAGAAACAUCUCCCGUUUAUUACUCCACUGGAGGUCUUAACGGCCUUCCAAGAGUCUGUUUCCCCUGGGGAAAAAAGGAGAAAUUUGCUUCAUGCAAAAAACCAAAAAACCCCCCCUUGUCUUUCUCUGCCUAAGGUCUUCAGGGCCUGAAAGAGAAUCGUUGAGAGGAGAAAGGAGACGUUUGCUUCAUGCAGAAACAUCUCCGGUUUCAUUACUCCACUUGAGGCCUCCAAGGCCUUGUCAUGGAGAGUAUCUGAGGAGACAUUUGCUUCAUGCAAACAGUCUUCUCUUCUUUGGAUCUCUACCUAAGGUCUUCAAGACCUGAAAAGAGAACGUUUGUGUUUGAACGAGAAGUUUUCUGGAUGCAAUGUCUUGCUACGGUUUCUCUAGCCUAGGUCUUCAAGGCCUUGUUCCAGAGGGAACAAAGGAGGAAUUUGCUUCAUGCAGAUAUACUUCUUGGGCAGUACUCCACCUCAGGCGUUCAAGGCCUUUUCACUGACAAUGAAAGAAAGACUGUCUGAGGUACAAAAAAGGAGGAGCCUGCUUCAAGCAAACCAUCCCUAGGUUUCCCUUCUCUGUCGGAGGUCUUCAGGGCCUCAAAAGAGACUACAGGAGGGGAAAAAGGAGAAAUGCGCUUCAUGCAAAAAUCUCCUGCUUAGGUUUCUCUAACUAAGCUGUACAAGGCCAUAAAAGAGAACAUUCGCAGUGAAAAUGGAGAAAGUUGGUUCCUACGUACAAUUUGCAGCUUGGAUUUCCCUCAGAGGGAAACAUUUGAGGCUUAAAACAUUUGCCUCAUGAAAUCCACCUCUUGCUUUCAUUUGCCUGUCUGAGGUCUCUGGGACCUGAAAAGAGAAAAUUGGAGGUGAACCAGGAGAAAUUUGCCUCAUGCAAACCAUCUCCUACUUUUCUUUCUCUCCCUAAGGUCUUCAAGGCCUCAAAAGAGAAUAGUGGAGGUGAAACGAGAGAAAUGGACUGCGUGCCAAACCAUCUCCUACUUUCAUUUCUCUCCCUAAGGUCUUCAAGACCUGGAAAGAGAAUAGUUGAGGCUUAAAGGAAGAAAUUUUGCUUCAUGCAAACCAUCUCCUGCCUUCAUUUCUCUACUUAAGGUCUUCAUGACCCAAAAAGAGAAUAUCUGGGUUGAAAAGGGACAAGUUUUCUUCAUGCAAACAACCAUCCUGCUUCUGUUUUCUCUACCUCAGGGUUGGAAAAGGCCAUCUGUGGUCUUAAAAAAAGGAGUGAUUUGCUUCAUGCAGAGCACCUCCUGGGCAUUAGUCCAUUUCAGGUCUUCAAGGCCUGGGAAUCAAGAAGCAAGAGACAGCCUUUCAUUGGAAAAAGGAGAAAGUUGCUUCGUGUACCCUAUCUCCCGCUUUAAUUUCGUUGACCUUCAGGUCUUUAGGGCCAGAAAAGAGAAUAUUGGGGUUGAAAAAGAGAAAUUUUACUUCAUCGGGACAGAUCUCCUUUGUUUCUAUGCCACUACCCGUCACUUUUAAGGCAUUGUAAUUGAGGGUGAAUAGAGACUAUGCGACGUGCACGAGAAGCCAUUUGCUUGAUGGAGGAAAAACUCCCACUUAUCUCUCUCCCUAUGGUUUUCCAGGCCUGGAAAGAGAGAGUACAUGUGAGCUGGGAAAGGAGAGGUCUUGCUUCCUGCAAAAAUGUUAUUGUUUGUUACUCCACCUAAGGCUUUCAAGGCCCUGCAAUUGAGAAUUGAGGGAGAAUAUAGAUGGUGGAAAAGCAGAAACGUAACUCAGGUGAACAAACCCCUGCUUGAAUUUGUCUCCUAAGGUCUUCGAGACCUGAAAAGAGAAUUGAUGUGACAGACAGACAAAGGAGUAGUUUACUUCAUAUAAAAAAUCACCGGGUCAUUUUUCUACCUAGGGUCUUCAAGACCCAAAGAGAAAAUAGGUGAGCUGGCAAAGGACCUGGCAAGGACACAUCUCCUGUGCCUUCCUUAGUCCACCUCAGGCCUUCAAGGCCUGUUUAUAGUGAGAGUGGCUGGAGAUUAUCUGAGGUGAAAAAGGAGAAGUUUCCUUCAUGCAAAAGUUAUCCCGUUCACUUGUCUCCCGAAGGUCUUCAAGGCCUGAAGACAAAAUAUAUGAGCUGGGGAAGGAGAAAAUUGCUUCAUGCAAAACAUCUCCUGCUUUUCUCCACUUGAGGUCUUCAAGGCCUGCAGAAGAAUAUUGGAGGUAGGACAGGAGAAAUUUGCUUCAUGCAAAAAAAUCUCCACGUUUGAAUUUCUCUCACCUAAACUCUCUAAGGCCUACAUAGACAAUAUAGGAGGUGGAAGAGGAGUAAUGUGCUUCAUGCCAAAGGAAAAUCCCAUUUAUUUUUCUACCCAUGGCCCUUAAGGCCUGCACAGAGAACAUCUGAGAAGUUAAAGGAGACAUGUACCACAUGCAGAUUUCCUCUUUGGUUUUUUAACCUCACCCUUAACUUAAAAAGUCCUUGUGCUUUGUGACCGAGAACUCACAAUAUACUUGGAACGAAAAGGAGAAAUCUGCUCCCUGCAAAAUCUUCCCCCUGAUCUGGCCACCACAGGUCUUCCCCCAAGCCUUUGCAUUAGGAGAGAAAUGAAAAUGUUUGAGACAAAAGAAAAAGGUAAAGCUUGCUUCAUGCAGACAAACCUCCUGCUUAGUACACCACCUCUGGCCUUCAAGGCCCCUUCACUUAGACUUGAGAUGAAGAGGAGACACGUGCUUCGUGCCAGUAAAUCUGCGGCUUAUUUCUCCCCCUUAGGUCUCCAAUACCUUUUGAUAGUGGAGGUGGACUAGCCCGAGUACCAAACAGAGAGAAUAGAUUCCUACACCGUCUGUCUGGCUCCAGGCCUAAAUCUAGCUGUGCACCCUCCUGUGCUCCCUUCAGGCUCCACGCCUGGUCUUUAUGGCUUGGGUUGUUGGACAGAGAGCCAAGAGGUAGCAGUGGGGUGAAGAGCUUCAUGCUACUUCCCCCCCACCCCCCAGUCCCUGAAAGGGGUUUCCCUUUUAUCCUUCCACUCUGCCUGCUCUGCCACCUCAACCUUGGACAAAGUCACCAAACCACUCCUUGCCAUGGAACCAGAUCCUGCAUCCUAAGAGCUGAGAUGAUCUAAGUGUGGAAAUGAUGGAGAAAGGAACGGGGCCAGCCCGCUUGACUGGAGAAAGGCUCCAUUCCCGCCAUAGAACGGAGGAGGAAGGAAAAUCGGAGGACGGUUGGGUUUGGAGAAAAUCCGGCUACUGGUUAAGAGGAAAAGGCUCUGGACCCGAGGCUCGGGUCCAGGCUAGUGGAGGGCGAUCAAAGAAACGUGGAGGUGGAGGAGGGGGAGGAGGGAUUUUGUCUCAUGCCAAAUUCCAGAAAAGCUUUACUUCAUGUGAAGCGGCCUCCCCUCCAGGGCCUUCCUGCCUUCAAGACCUGAAAAGAAACUAUUUGAGUCCUAAAAGGGCUUCGUAGGCAACUUGGGACAUUUCUCUUGGGAGCCUUCUGGCUUUCUGAGCGGUUAGAACUGCUCCAUUUGGACCAUUUUGGCUCAUUUUCCACGUUCAGAAAUUGGUCCAGUUUUAGAGGGAAAUACCUUUCACAAGUCUAUAGUGUUAUGUCAGGAUUACAAUUCCAAACCUGUUAUGACGAAAGCACAACGGAGAUAACCCCUUGUCCCUCUCUAAAUCCUGGUUGACCCAGUCAAUGUUCAAUGGAAUGUUAUUUUGCUCUAAUUCAGGAGAUAGAAAACAACAAAAAGAUUCAUGCAAGCCACCACAGCAGCCUUUAAAAAGUCAAUAAAAUAGUUCAAUAAAAUAAAAAUAAACCUAAAAAGCAAAAGGAGCGGCACAAUAAAAUACAAUAAAAUAGUUUAAAAUUUAAUAUUAAAAUCACUGACAUAUAAAAUCCAUGACAUAUAAAAAUGCACAACACUCAUUCCCUUGGACGUUGACAUAUGGGAAAUCUUGGGAUAAAAGAGAAAGAAAAAAAAUCCCGAGUAUUCGACGACCAAAAAUGGGGAGGUUGAUCUCUUUGCCUUUUCUAUUGCGAUCAGAUGAAUGGCUUUAUGAGCGCCAACUGACUAUAGCACUAUAGACUUACAGCAAAGGAAACGUCAGCCCAGGUUCAAGGCAGUUUUAUUUCAUACACCUGGUUUCAGAAUGCCUGGCACAUUGAGUGUUUUGUCAUCAAGGUUUUGAAUCUGUGCAGAACUGGGGGGCUGCUACUCUGGACUGGAUCUCGCCUGACUGUCGGUAAGCACCGGGAGGAGCAGAGGUAAGCGCGGGCCGGACGGAAGGAAUUUACGCAUUUCGGGGAAGGGUGGGUUCGGGGGGAUGUCCUCAGGGUGGCCCUGGGCUCUGGAAAGUGUUGCCCUCUGGAAUGUCAGUGCAUUUGCACAUAGCUUAGUUUGUCCUCUGCAACAUCUGCCGGUAGGAUUUUUGUUGCCCACGUAGAGCAAAGAGAGAAUCGGCGUUCCUAGGUCUGGGGAGAGAAAAGGAGGCGACGGUGCUGCCGACCAAGAGGGAGAAUAGAGCACGCUACCGCGAUGCCCGGAGUGACGGCCGUUGUCCCCGCGUCCCUGUAUUGCCGCAGGGGGUUAGCGGGGGCAGCCCGCCUACCUCCAACAUUCGAGGACCACGGAUCUGCAGCCAAGCCAGCCCUACCUUCUCCCUGGACUCUCAACAGCUGGAGGGAAACAGUCCUGAAGCGCUCCUGUCUUCACCCCACGGGACCCGGACCCAUGCCAGCGCAGACCACCCACCUCCGCCCCACCCCAAUUCCCCACCAGCCCAGACCACCCAGCCCAGCCCCAGGCCCCACCAGCCCCGACCCAAGCCUCAGAAUGUUUUCUGGGCCUUGGGGCUGUUUCUGAGCCCCACUGAAAACACCCUGCCCCUUGCAGCGCCUUCAAGCUAGCCAAGAGGAGCAGAAACUGGUAGAGCAGGUGAGAACAACUUGCUGCUGCCACCACAAGCAGGCCCGAGGAGUUGCACCUGGGCCUACUUUACCCUGGCACAAACUCAAAGGGGAAAAGGCUUGAGGAGUGAAGAGCCAUCAAUUUUCACGUAUCCCCACUUGUACUCUGAACUCCUUCCAAAAUUUUGGGACCUAUGGAAUGGGCUUAAAAAAAUGAAGUCCUUGCUCAUGUUGUGGAAACCGUCCUGGUACCCCAUUUCCUUUUUCUACACUUGUGCCCUGGAAAAAAAAACCAAACCUGUUCCUUCCAAAAUACUGUUAAUCAAUAAAACUUGUUAAAAACCCA